AACGAACGCUGGCGGCAGGCCUAACACAUGCAAGUCGAACGCUCCGCAAGGGGAGUGGCGCACGGGUGAGUAACACGUGGGAACCUACCUUCUGGUACGGAACAACCAAGGGAAACUUUGGCUAAGACCGUAUACGACCUCCGGGUGAAAGAUUGAUCGCCGGAAGAGGGGCCCGCGUCCGAUUAGGUAGUUGGUGAGGUAACGGCUCACCAAGCCUUCGAUCGGUAGCUGGUCUGAGAGGAUGACCAGCCACACUGGGACUGAGACACGGCCCAGACUCCUACGGGAGGCAGCAGUGGGGAAUAUUGGACAAUGGGCGCAGCCUGAUCCAGCCAUGCCGCGUGAGUGAUGAAGGCCUUCGGUUG
rnacentral:rRNA from 1 species